AGCAGCCGCGGUAAUUCCAGCUCCAAUAGCGUAUAUUAAAGUUGUUGCAGUUAAAAGCUCGUAGUUGAAUUUCGGGAUCAAUUUAUUGGUCGUGCAAUAGUACGUACUGGUAUUAUUGGUUCCUACCUUCUGAUGAACCAUGAUGUCAUUAAUUUGGUGUUAUGGGGAAUCAGGACUGUUACUUUGAAAAAUUGAGUGUUUAAAGCAGGCUCACGCUUGAAUACAUUAGCAUGGAAUAAUGAAAUAGGACGUUUGAUUCUAUUUUGUUGGUUUCUAGGAUCGACGUAAUGAUUAAUAGGGAUAGUUGGGGGCAUUAGUAUUCAAUUGUCAGAGGUGAAAUUCUUGGAUUUAUUGAAGACUAACUACUGCGAAAGCAUUUGCCAAGGACGUUUUCAUUAAUCAAGAACGAAAGUUAGGGAUCGAAGACGAUCAGAUACCGUCGUAGUCUU
rnacentral:misc_RNA from 1 species